rnacentral:tRNA from 1 species
UUUAAUAUGGCAGAAUUAGUGCAAUGGACUUAAGACCCAUAUAUAAAAUUAAAAUUUUUAUUAAAA